CCUACGGGAGGCAGCAGUGAGGAAUAUUGGUCAAUGGACGAGAGUCUGAACCAGCCAAGCCGCGUGAAGGAUGACUGCUCUAUGGGUUGUAAACUUCUUUUAUAUGGGAAUAAAAUGUUCCACGUGUGGGAUUUUGUAUGUACCAUAUGAAUAAGGAUCGGCUAACUCCGUGCCAGCAGCCGCGGUAAUACGGAGGAUCCGAGCGUUAUCCGGAUUUAUUGGGGUUAAAGAGAGCGUAGGUGGUUUGUUAAGUCAGUUGUGAAAGUUUGCGGCUCAACCGUAAAAUUGCAGUUGAAACUGGCAGUCUUGAGUACAGGAGAGGUAGGCGGAAUUCGUGGUGUAGCGGUGAAAUGCUUAGAUAUCACGAAGAACACCGAUUGCGAAGGCAGUUCACUGGACUGCAACUGACACUGAGGCUCGAAAGUAUGGGUAGCAAACAGGAUUAGAUACCCGGGUAGUC
rnacentral:rRNA from 1 species